rnacentral:lncRNA from 1 species
CUAAAAAGUCUUAACUAUCACUAAAAACUAUCUUUGUUAUAUAAUAUCUAAUCACUCUUUAAAAAAAAAUCUUUCUUUUCAUGGGAUGUCUAAUAUUUAAGUAAUAUAUCUCAUUAGUAAUUCAAUCUAAUAUGCUUAAACUAAGCAAAUUGGAUUCAUUUAUCAUAGUUCGUUAGAAAAAUAGUAAAUGGAUAGUUAUAUGUCAAUUUUAAAUUAACAGAUAAUCAGUAUUGUUGGAAAGCUCAUAAACAUAUAUUUGAGUUUGUCUCGAUGUUCUCGAGAAAUAAAAAAGCUUGCAAUAAUAAUAUGCAAUAUUACGAUCAAUUUUAAAACAUUUUUCUUGGGACUUAUAAGAACAAAAUUCCCAAGUUGAUUGUUUUUCUCAAAUGAAACUUCACCAGCUCUAUUUCAUGUUCAUCAAACUUUUAACCUGAUAUCUUGUUAAACCAAAUCUUGUAUGGUUGAGAAACAAACAUAUCAAGUUUGUUCUUCUACUGAAGCUCCUAGUGAGAUGUGUGAAGGAAAUUGAAGCCAUUCAGCUGUAGUGGUAAUUUUAAUUUUAUCCAUAUAGUUAGAAAUUCAUUAUAGAGAAACAAGAUGUUGGUAUGGAUGGCACAAGGGAAGCCUUACUAAGUGGAAACAAGUGCAACAUAGUCUUGGGUCCCAUAAUAUUUUAUUU